rnacentral:rRNA from 1 species
GACGAACGCUGGCGGCGUGCUUAACACAUGCAAGUCGAACGGUAAGGCCCUUUCGGGGGUACACGAGUGGCGAACGGGCGUGUAACACGCGGGUGAUCUGCCCUGCACUUUGGGAUAAGCCUGGGAAACUGGGUCUAAUACCGGAUAGGACUACGCGAUGCAUGUCGUGUGGUGGAAAGCUUUUGCGGUGUGGGAUGGGGCCGCGGCCUAUCAGCUUGUUGGUGGGGUGAUGGCCUACCAAGGCGACGACGGGUAGCCGGCCGGGGAGGGUGUCCGGCCACACUGGGACUGAGAUACGGACCAGACUCCUACGGGAGGCAGCAGUGGGGAAUAUUGCACAAUGGGCGCAAGCCUGAUGAAGCGACGCCGCGUGGGGGAUGACGGCCUUCGGGUUGUAAACCCCUUUCAGCACAGAAGAAGCGUAAGUGACGGUAUGUGCAGAAGAAGCACCGGCCAACUACGUG